rnacentral:rRNA from 1 species
AGAGUUUGAUCAUGGCUCAGAAUCAACGCUGGCGGCGUGCCUCAGACAUGCAAGUCGAACGCGAAAGCCCUUCGGGGCAAGUAGAGUGGCGCACGGGUGAGUAACACGUAGGUAAUCUACCUUUGGAUUGGGAAUAACAACCGGAAACGGUUGCUAAUACCGAAUAAUGCAGCGGCACCUAAUGGUGACAGUUGUUAAAGCGGGGGAUCGCAAGACCUCGCGUCUGAAGAGGAGCCUGCGGCAGAUUAGCUAGUUGGUAAGGUAAUGGCUUACCAAGGCGAUGAUCUGUAGCCGGCCUGAGAGGGCGGUCGGCCACACUGACACUGACAUACGGGUCAGACUCCUACGGGAGGCAGCAGUCGGGAAUUUUGGGCAAUGGGCGAAAGCCUGACCCAGCAACGCCGCGUGAAGGAUGAAAUCCCUCGGGAUGUAAACUUCGCAAGAACGGGAAGAAUAAGUGAGAGCUAACAUCUCUUACGAUGACGGUACUGUUUGUAAGCUCCGGCUAACUCCGUGCCAGCAGCCGCGGUAAUACGGGGGGAGCAAGCGUUGUUCGGAUUUACUGGGCGUAGAGGGCGCGUAGGCGGCCACCGCAAGUCGACUGUGAAAUCUCCGGGCUUAACCCGGAACGGUCAGCCGAUACUGCGGGGCUAGAGUGCAGAAGGGGCAACUGGAAUUCUCGGUGUAGCGGUGAAAUGCGU